UACAGAGGUCUCAAGCGUUGUUCGGAUUCAUUGGGCGUAAAGGGCGCGUAGGCGGCCUGACAAGUCACUUGUGAAAUCUCCGGGCUUAACUCGGAACGGCCAAGUGAUACUGUCAAGCUAGAGUGCAGAAAGGGCAAUCGGAAUUCUUGGUGUAGCGGUGAAAUGCGUAGAUAUCAAGAGGAACACCUGAGGCGAAGGCGGGUUGCUAGGCUGACACUGACGCUGAAGCGCGAAAGCCAGGGGAGCAAACGGG
rnacentral:rRNA from 1 species